UACGAACCGUACGAACGUUAUUCGGAAUCACUGGGCUUAAAGGGUGCGUAGGCGGCCAUGUACGUGAGGUGUGAAAUCCCUCGGCUCAACCGAGGAACUGCGCUUCAUACUGCAUGGCUUGAGGGAGACAGGGGUAAGCGGAACUGAUGGUGGAGCGGUGAAAUGCGUUGAUAUCAUCAGGAACACCGGUGGCGAAAGCGGCUUACUGGGUCUCUUCUGACGCUGAGGUACGAAAGCUAGGGUAGCGAACGGG
rnacentral:rRNA from 1 species